UUAAGCGACUAAGCGUACACGGUGGAUGCCCUGGCAGUCAGAGGCGAUGAAGGACGUGCUAAUCUGCGAAAAGCGUCGGUAAGGUGAUAUGAACCGUUAUAGCCGGCGAUGUCCGAAUGGGGAAACCCAGUGCAAUUCGUUGCACUAUCGUUAACUGAAUACAUAGGUUAACGAGGCGAACCGGGGGAACUGAAACAUCUAAGUACCCCGAGGAAAAGAAAUCAACCGAGAUUCCCCCAGUAGCGGCGAGCGAACGGGGAGCAGCCCAGAGUCUGAAUCAGCUUGUGUGUUAGUGGAACGGUCUGGAAAGUCCGACGGUACAGGGUGAUAGUCCCGUACACCAAAAUGCACAGGUUGUGAACUCGAAGAGUAGGGCGGGACACGUGGUAUCCUGUCUGAAUAUGGGGGGACCAUCCUCCAAGGCUAAAUACUCCUGACUGACCGAUAGUGAACCAGUACCGUGAGGGAAAGGCGAAAAGAACCCCGGCGAGGGGAGUGAAAAAGAACCUGAAACCGUGUACGUACAAGCAGUGGGAGCACCUUCGGGUGUGACUGCGUACCUUUUGUAUAAUGGGUCAGCGACUUAUAUUCUGUAGCAAGGUUAACCGUAUAGGGGAGCCGCAGGGAAACCGAGUCUUAACUGGGCGUUAAGUUGCAGGGUAUAGACCCGAAACCCGGUGAUCUAGCCAUGGGCAGGUUGAAGGUUGGGUAACACUAACUGGAGGACCGAACCGACUAAUGUUGAAAAAUUAGCGGAUGACUUGUGGCUGGGGGUGAAAGGCCAAUCAAACCGGGAGAUAGCUGGUUCUCCCCGAAAGCUAUUUAGGUAGCGCCUCGUGAACUCAUCUUCGGGGGUAGAGCACUGUUUCGGCUAGGGGGUCAUCCCGACUUACCAACCCGAUGCAAACUACGAAUACCGAAGAAUGUUAUCACGGGAGACACACGGCGGGUGCUAACGUCCGUCGUGAAGAGGGAAACAACCCAGACCGCCAGCUAAGGUCCCAAAGUCAUGGUUAAGUGGGAAACGAUGUGGGAAGGCACAGACAGCCAGGAUGUUGGCUUAGAAGCAGCCAUCAUUUAAAGAAAGCGUAAUAGCUCACUGGUCGAGUCGGCCUGCGCGGAAGAUGUAACGGGGCUAAACCAUGCACCGAAGCUGCGGCAGCGACACUAUGUGUUGUUGGGUAGGGGAGCGUUCUGUAAGCCUGCGAAGGUGGCCUGUGAGGGUUGCUGGAGGUAUCAGAAGUGCGAAUGCUGACAUAAGUAACGAUAAAGCGGGUGAAAAGCCCGCUCGCCGGAAGACCAAGGGUUCCUGUCCAACGUUAAUCGGGGCAGGGUGAGUCGACCCCUAAGGCGAGGCCGAAAGGCGUAGUCGAUGGGAAACAGGUUAAUAUUCCUGUACUUGGUGUUACUGCGAAGGGGGGACGGAGAAGGCUAUGUUAGCCGGGCGACGGUUGUCCCGGUUUAAGCAUGUAGGCUGAUUGUCCAGGCAAAUCCGGAUAAUCAAGGCUGAGGUGUGAUGACGAGGCACUACGGUGCUGAAGUAACAAAUGCCCUGCUUCCAGGAAAAGCCUCUAAGCAUCAGGUAACAUUAAAUCGUACCCCAAACCGACACAGGUGGUCAGGUAGAGAAUACCAAGGCGCUUGAGAGAACUCGGGUGAAGGAACUAGGCAAAAUGGUGCCGUAACUUCGGGAGAAGGCACGCUGGUGUGUAGGUGAAGCCCCUGCGGGUGGAGCUGAGACCAGUCGAAGAUACCAGCUGGCUGCAACUGUUUAUUAAAAACACAGCACUGUGCAAACACGAAAGUGGACGUAUACGGUGUGACGCCUGCCCGGUGCCGGAAGGUUAAUUGAUGGGGUUAUCCGUAAGGAGAAGCUCUUGAUCGAAGCCCCGGUAAACGGCGGCCGUAACUAUAACGGUCCUAAGGUAGCGAAAUUCCUUGUCGGGUAAGUUCCGACCUGCACGAAUGGCGUAAUGAUGGCCAGGCUGUCUCCACCCGAGACUCAGUGAAAUUGAACUCGCUGUGAAGAUGCAGUGUACCCGCGGCAAGACGGAAAGACCCCGUGAACCUUUACUAUAGCUUGACACUGAACAUUGAGCCUUGAUGUGUAGGAUAGGUGGGAGGCUUUGAAGCGUGGACGCCAGUCUGCGUGGAGCCAACCUUGAAAUACCACCCUUUAAUGUUUGAUGUUCUAACGUUGGCCCCUUACCGGGGUUGCGGACAGUGUCUGGUGGGUAGUUUGACUGGGGCGGUCUCCUCCCAAAGCGUAACGGAGGAGCACGAAGGUUAGCUAAUCCUGGUCGGACAUCAGGAGGUUAGUGCAAUGGCAUAAGCUAGCUUGACUGCGAGCGUGACGGCGCGAGCAGGUGCGAAAGCAGGUCAUAGUGAUCCGGUGGUUCUGAAUGGAAGGGCCAUCGCUCAACGGAUAAAAGGUACUCCGGGGAUAACAGGCUGAUACCGCCCAAGAGUUCAUAUCGACGGCGGUGUUUGGCACCUCGAUGUCGGCUCAUCACAUCCUGGGGCUGAAGUAGGUCCCAAGGGUAUGGCUGUUCGCCAUUUAAAGUGGUACGCGAGCUGGGUUUAGAACGUCGUGAGACAGUUCGGUCCCUAUCUGCCGUGGGCGCUGGAGAAUUGAGGGGGGCUGCUCCUAGUACGAGAGGACCGGAGUGGACGCAUCACUGGUGUUCGGGUUGUCAUGCCAAUGGCACUGCCCGGUAGCUAAAUGCGGAAGAGAUAAGUGCUGAAAGCAUCUAAGCACGAAACUUGCCCCGAGAUGAGUUCUCCCUGAGACUUUAAGUCUCCUGAAGGAACGUUAAAGACGAUGACGUUGAUAGGCCGGGUGUGUAAGCGCAGCGAUGCGUUGAGCUAACCGGUACUAAUGAACCGUGAGGCUUAACCUU
rnacentral:rRNA from 1 species